rnacentral:misc_RNA from 1 species
GAAAUGCGAUAAUUAAUGUGAAUUGCAGAAUUCAGUGAAUCAUCGAGUCUUUGAACGCACAUUGCGCCCCCUGGUAUUCCGGGGGGCAUGCCUGUCCGAGCGUCAUUGCUGCCCUCAAGCACGGCUUGUGUGUUGGGCUUCCGUCCCUGGCAACGGGGACGGGCCCAAAAGGCAGCGGCGGCACCAUGUCUGGUCCUCGAGCGUAUGGGGCUUUGUCACCCGCUCCCGUAGGUCCAGCUGGCAGCUAGCCUCGCAACCAAUCUUUUUAACCAGGUUGACCUCGGAUCAGGUAGGGAUACCCGCUGAACUUAAGC